GGAGGGAUACCCAAGCGGCCAACGGGGGCAGACUGUAAAUCUGCUGUCUUACGACUUCGGUGGUUCGAAUCCACCUCCCUCCA
rnacentral:tRNA from 1 species